AGGAAUAUUGGUCAAUGGACGAGAGUCUGAACCAGCCAAGUAGCGUGAAGGAUGACUGCCCUAUGGGUUGUAAACUUCUUUUAUACGGGAAUAAAGUGAGGCACGUGUGCCUUUUUGUAUGUACCGUAUGAAUAAGGAUCGGCUAACUCCGUGCCAGCAGCCGCGGUAAUACGGAGGAUCCGAGCGUUAUCCGGAUUUAUUGGGUUUAAAGGGAGCGUAGGCGGACGCUUAAGUCAGUUGUGAAAGUUUGCGGCUCAACCGUAAAAUUGCAGUUGAUACUGGGUGUCUUGAGUACAGUAGAGGCAGGCGGAAUUCGUGGUGUAGCGGUGAAAUGCUUAGAUAUCACGAAGAACUCCGAUUGCGAAGGCAGCUUGCUGGACUGUAACUGACGCUGAUGCUCGAAAGUGUGGGUAUCAAACAGGAUUAGAUACCCUGGUAGUCCACACAGUAAACGAUGAAUACUCGCUGUUUGCGAUAUACAGUAAGCGGCCAAGCGAAAGCGUUAAGUAUUCCACCUGGGGAGUACGCCGGCAACGGUGAAACUCAAAGGAAUUGACGGGGGCCCGCACAAGCGGAGGAACAUGUGGUUUAAUUCGAUGAUACGCGAGGAACCUUACCCGGGCUUGAAUUGCAACUGAAUGAUGUGGAGACAUGUCAGCCGCAAGGCAGUUGUGAAGGUGCUGCAUGGUUGUCGUCAGCUCGUGCCGCGAGGUGUCGGCUUAAGUGCCAUAACGAGCGCAACCCUUAUCGAUAGUUACCAUCAGGUUAUGCUGGGGACUCUGUCGAGACUGCCGUCGUAAGAUGUGAGGAAGGUGGGGAUGACGUCAAAUCAGCACGGCCCUUACGUCCGGGGCUACACACGUGUUACAAUGGGGGGUACAGAAGGCAGCUACACGGCGACGUGAUGCUAAUCCCUAAAGCCUCUCUCAGUUCGGAUUGGAGUCUGCAACCCGACUCCAUGAAGCUGGAUUCGCUAGUAAUCGCGCAUCAGCCACGGCGCGGUGAAUACGUUCCCG
rnacentral:rRNA from 1 species